GUAAAUGUUCCAUGAUAAUAGGUUAGGUAAAUGUUCCAUGAUAAUGGGUUAGGUAAAUGUUUCAUGAUAAGAAUUUCAUGUCUUUUUGUAUUAAAGAAUUAAAUGGAUGAAAUAUGAAGUUUUAUUAAAAGAAAAAGAGGUGAAAAGAACAAAGUUUUGUCCAUCUUUGUUCAUCAUAGCUGAAAGUUAGAGAAGAGAAAGGAGAGGAGAAAGCUCUUGAGUAUUCGGUCAUUAGGAGGAGGAAAAUUGAAGGAAAUCCCCAACCAUAGUGGGCUUGGAGCUGUGAUGGAAUUCGGAGUGACCACCCGUUCUGAAAGUUUGAUUUUCUUCUGGUGAACUGGACAUCCUUUUAAUUACGUUUGAGGUUUUGGGCUUUUAAAUGUAAUAAGGCCGCUUAUUUAUUUUUGAUGGUUUUAAUAUGUAUUACUAAGAUAGGUAAUACUUA